UCCAAGAUGGCCGCGCGCUUGGGGUCCGCACCUGCUGGCAGCCCCGAGCCCCGUUCACUGCCACCGCUGCUGACCAGAGCCGCCGGUCGGCCCGGCGACUCCGGGGGCUGACCCCGCGGGGCGGGAGGCCGCCAUGGCGACCCUGGAAAAGCUGGCGAAGGCCUUCGAGUCCCUCAAGUCCUUCCAGAGGCCGCCACCGCCGCCGCCGCUGCCUCAGCCGGCACCGCAACUGCCGCCGCCUCAGCCGGUACCACCGCCGCCGCCGCCUCAGGCCCCGCAGUCGGCACCGCGGCCUCAACCGCCACAGCCGCCCGCCCAGCCCCCUCAGCCGGCACCGCAGCCGACGCCGCCUCAGCCGGUACCACCGCCGCCGCCGCCUCAGGCCCCGCAGCCGGCACCGCGGCCUCAACCGCCACAGCCGCCCGCCCAGCCCCCUCAGCCGGCACCGCAGCCGACGCCGCCUCAGCCGGUACCACCGCCGCCGCCGCCGCAGCCCUCUCAGCCGGUACCGCAGCUUCAGCCGGUACCGCCGCCGCCUCAGCCCUCUCAGCCGGUACCGCAGCUUCAGCCGGCACCGCAGCCGCCGCAGCCUCAGCCCUCUCAGCCGGUACCGCCGCCACCUCAGCCGUCUCAGCCGCCGCCGCCUCAGCCGGUACCGCAGCCGCCGCAGCCCCCUCAGCCGGCACCGCCGCCGCCGCAGCCUCAGCCCCCUCAGCCGGUACCGCCGCCGCCUCAGCCCCCUCAGACGGUACCGCCGCCUCAGCCGGCACCGCACCCUCAACCGCCACCACCGCCCGCCCAGCCGUGGGUCAGGAGCCGCUGCACAGACGGUGUGUUAUUCUGGGAGAUCAUCAGGACUUCUGGGUAUUUGGAGGUAUUGACCUAACCAGUGGAACUGCUGAUUUAUAAGAAGUUGUCCAGAAUUUUGGAAAACUGAUUAGUAGAGGCUGGAGACCGAGAAGAACUACCAUUUUUGCCCGCUGGGAUGAAGAAAAAAUCGGACUUCUGGGUUCCACAAAUGGGCUGAGGUAACUAAGACAGAAAAUGUAUCUUCUUGGUCAACAUGUAACUCAGGCUCUGUCAUAAUGGAAACUCUGCAGCAGAAUCAGCUGUCAUCUAUCCCGUGUGGCCAAGUGCAGAGGAGAAUGUGAAAACACUCCAGGAGAGAGAGGUUGCAUAUAUCAAUGCAGACUCAUACACAGAAGGCAAUUAUACUCUCAGAGUUGACUGUAUACCCCUUCUUUUACAGUUGGUAUAUAAACUGACAAAAGAGUGGAGGAAUCAGACAUCAUUCAUCUGGAGAAAUGCUGUUGGUUGCUGAGUGCUCAAUCCCGAACUGGAUGAUUUGAUUUAGAGACAUUUGGCCCAUUGGCUUCACCACCAAUUUGUCCAUCUCUGAGUGAAGAUGGGAAUCCUUCUAUUUUCUACAAAUGUUCUUUGGUAAACACGUGAGCCUUGUUCCACCUUUGGAGCCUUGUGGUUAUUUAACGCUUUUGGUGAAAAUCAUGACAGCCACAUAGAUUUUAAGGAGAUAUCCUGUGGGUUAUCAGCUUGUUGCAGAGGACCUCUGGCUGAAAGACAGAAAUUUUGCUUCAAGGUAUUUGAUGUUGACGGUGACGGAGUUCUUUCUAGGGUUGAACUGAGAGACACGUGGUUGCACAUUUAGAGGUCUGGAAGGACAACUGCACCGAUGAUAUCCUGUAAUUACACGUGGAUGUAUCCAACAUUGUAGAAGACCCAUAGAAUGCGCAUGAUACCACAAAGAAUGGCCAUCUUAACUCUAGAAGAAUAUCAGAUCUGGAGUGUGAAAAAUGUUCUUGCCAAUGAGUUUUUGAAUCUACUUUUCCAGGUAUGUUUAAGGUAAAUGACAGAGACCGAGGGCAGUGGUACCAGUAGUUCUACAUCUUUUCCAUUAUGUAGUAGUUAGACAACUAGACUACAAACCAUAUAUUGUCAAAAGAACUGCAUUGACCUGUACACCACCUGCAGAUGGUAAGUUAGAGCGUGCGUGCUUCUCAGAGUCACAAUGUGCAUGAUAGGAAAGUAGAGUAUAGCUGAUAAUGUUUAUCUUAAUAACUCAUGAUAGAGCAGAUUAUAAACUCAUAGAAAAGAAUUUAAAAUGUAAAAGCCAUUAUAAUUUGCUAUUUUUCUUUACUUUUUUUUUUUUUUUAAGACCCUUCCUAACAAGUAACGCAGUGUGGACAGAGACAUAGAUCAUAAGUUGGCAGCUGUAAAUUUUUCACAAAGUAUAUAAUCUUUCCAGUUAGGAGGUUAUUUUAGAUGCAAAGCUGUUUCUUAAUUUUCUUUUUUUUCUUUCUUUCUUUCUUUUUUUUUCUUUUUUUUAAUUUAAUUCUUUAGAAGGCCCAAAAAAGUUGAAGGAGAAAGGAGGAAAGAAAAACUGUCAGGGGUGAACAUGAAAUCAUAAAACUUGCCAGAUUUUAACUAUUUUCCAAGUUAAAGUAGUUCUCUUUGCUCCAAUUUAAAGAAACAACUUAUAGUUUCCCAUUUUUCAUAGUUCUUCAUAAAUAUAUGUUGAUUUAAUAGUAUUUUACAGGGUGUGAGUAGGGACAGACUGGAAGUUCAAGAUUUGUAAAUACUGACAGUAUAUAUAGAAUAGAUAAACAAGUUUAUACUGUAUAGCACAGGGAAAUAUAUUCAAGAUUUUGUAGUAGCUCAUGGUGAAAAAAUAUGAAAACAAAUAUACGUGUAUUCAUAAAGGACUGAAAAAUUGUGCUGUACACCGGAAAUUGACACAACAUUGUAAACGGACUAUAACUCAGUAAAAAAAUAAAAAUAAAGAUAAAACUUUUAGAACACUAUAAAAAAAGUAGUAUUUUAGAUUUUUCUUAUUUUAUUUCCUUUUCUUAUAAAAGCACCCCUAUGAAGAUCAAUAAGACUUGAUAUCUUUAUAUCUAUCAUGAUCCUCCAUUGUAAAUACAGAUUAACCUGCCUGUGACACAGCUAUGUUAGAAUAAAUGAAAAUUGAACUCUUCCUGACAGCUAAUAACUAAUGUAUAUUUAAAGCAUAUGAAAUCUGAUAAGCCUAUGAUACCCAUUUAAAUCAAUCAGUUGCUCUACUCUCAGUUAUCAGCCAGGAUCUAAGUUGAUGUCUUUAUAAAACAUAAAUACAUAUAAAAAUAAUAUAAACCUACUGUAAACAGAAAUGACUUGCUUAGUAAUAUGAAAAUGGUGCAGCUAUUUUAAUCUCAUUUAAAAUGAUGUCCUCAAUUACUUUAAGUUAUCAUUAAUUAUAUAAACAUUUUGACCACUUAAGUUUGUGUCUGAGUCAUCUUGCAGCUCUUACAUAGCAAAGCAUUUUGAACUUUUAUAUUGCCUUUCCUAUUUUCUCAUGCUUAUCAGGGACUUGCAUAGGCACUAUUUUUUCUAUGACUCUAUAAACAGAUGUAUGCCUGAGAUUUUCUUUUGUGUCUCAGUGUCUCUAGCAUUAUAUUACUGACAGAUUUUUUGUUGGUUAUCAAUCUAAUUUUUUUCUUGGUAUAUAUAGUCCUUUCAAAUAUAUAUAUAUAUGUAGUCAGUUUACACUGUUGUGUCAAUUUCUGGUGUACAGCACAAUGCUUCAUUCAUACAUGAACAUACAUAUAUUCAUUUUCAUACUCUUUUUCACCAUAAGUUACUACAAAACAGUAUUGGAUAUAGUUCCCUGUGCUAUACAGUAUGAACUUGUUUAUAAAUUGGGAGUUUGAUUUGCAGGUACUAAAUAUUAACAUUACAUUUUAUGAUGCUCACUUUAUCCCAUAUUCAGACAUGUUUUUAAAACUUUAUGUUCACUUAAUAUAUAAGUAAGAAGACUUAAUCUAAAUUGUUUUAUUUUCUGUCUGUUUCUAAAAUAGAAUUAGCUAGUAAAUUCAGUGAUAAAAGCUUGAAUUAUACUUUUAUUUUAUUUGCCAAGAUUCCACUCCUGGCUGACCAUUUUGGGUAUUUAAGUAUAAAGUAAGUAAAUGUCAGUAGAAUUAGGAAACCAUUCCUGUGGUAAUAUUAUUUUCAGUCCUUUCAAAUAAACUCAGUGCCCAAUAUUUUGCAGAGGAAGCAUUCUAAACAUGAUCAGGGUCUUCUAUCUUGUACGUUAGAAAGCGUCAAAUGUUAAACAGUUUGAUAAACAGAAUAGUGCACCACACUGACCCCUACCUAUAUCCAUGCUCUAAUCCUGAAAUCUGUGAAUAUGUUAUUUUACAUGGCAAAGGGGAUUUUGCAGAUGUAUCAGGUUAAGGACUCUGAGACAGGGAGAUUAGCCUGGAUUAUCUACAUGGGCCUAGUCUAACAACAGGAGUCCUUAAAAAUUGAAAAUCUUUCCCAGCUGUGGUCAGAAAGAUAUGACUUUGGAAGAGGGAUUAGAAAGCUGUAAAGCUUUUAGCUUUGAAGAUAGAGGAAGGGCCAUGGGUAAAGAAGUGUGUGUGAACUCUAGAAGCUGAAAAAGACAAGGAAAUACAUUCUUCUUUGACCUACAGAAGGGCAUAGUGCUGCUGACAUCUUGAUUUUUAGCCAAGUGAUACCUGUUCCUGACGACCUACAGAACCAUAAAACAAUAAGUUUGUGUUGCUUUAAGCUGCAAAAUUUGUGAUAAUUUGUUACAGCAGUGAUAAAUAUAAGUAUAGGGGAGAUAAUCCAAAUUUAUGGAUUGGAGGGCUCAACAUUUUAAAGAUGUCAGUUCCCCUUCAACUGAUUCAAAGGUUUACAUGUGCACAUCAAAAUCCCCAAAAGUUAAUUGUUGUUACUGUUUUUUUGUAGAACUUGACAAGCUGAUUCUAAAUACAUAGAGAAGCGUGAAGGGCCAAUAGCCAAGAUGAUAUUAAAGAACAAUAUUAAAGGACUUAUUAUAAAACAAUAUUAAGUCUAUGUGAUAACUACCUAAAGUUAGACAUAUAGACCAAUGGAACAGUAUUGAAUUAAACCCUGUACCAUACAUGAACAGUAAUUUUAGAUAGAUUAUAAACCUAAUAAAUUUGAAACAUAAAGCAAAGCAUCUGGGGGAGGGUAAAGCUCCGGUGGAAUGUGUGCUUAGCAUGCAUAAGGUCUUGGGUUCAACUCCCAGUACCUCCAUUAAAAUAAAUAACCUAAUCCCCCACCAAAAUAAAGCAUCUAGAAAAUAGUGUAGGAGAUAUUUUAAUGACUUUGAAGUGGCAAAGAGUUCUUAAACAGGACACAGCACUAAACAUAAAAGAAGAGUUUUAAGUUGGACUUCAGUAAAAUUAAGAAUUAUUUUUAUCAAGAGAUACCAUUAAGAAAGUGAAAAGCUAAGCCACACGGUGGGAAAAUAUAUUUGCUAUACCUAUAUCCAACAAAAGACUUGUAUCUAGGGCAUAUAAAGAACAAAAACCAGUGGAGAAAAAGGCAGAACCUUAAUAUUAAAAUGUGCAAAAAAAUUGAACAGGUGCUUCUCACACACACAAAAAAAUCCACAUAAGCUAUGAAAAGGGGCUGACCUCUUUAGUAAUAAUGGAAAUACGUACUAAACCCACACUUGGAACACCAUUAGGCAUCCACUAGAAUAGUUAGUUGUUAAGUGAUACGAAGCAUUGGUGAGGGCAACAAGCAAUGGGGACUCUUACACAUGGCCAGUGGGAAUAUAAAUUCUUACAAAUACUUUGGAAAUAGGCUUUUUGAAUGAAAGUUAUAUAUGUAUAUGUGUGUGUGUAUAUGUGUACACACACACACACACACACACCCUAUUACCAAGGGUAACCCAUGUGUGUACCCUUCAGAAACUUCUACAUCUGAGCACCAAAGGACAUCCAGAAAAUUCUCAUAAUCACUAUUUGUUAUACCCCCAAAUAGAAAAUGACCCAAACACUUUUCAACAAUACAUGACCAUAAGUGGUGGCACAUGCAUACAAGUUGUGUACUUUAAAGCAAUAAAAAUAAAUAUACUAGUUUACAGAAAACACUAGUGGAUGAAUCUUACAUAAUUUUGAGAGGAAAGUAUGGGACCAAAAAUUUCAAAAGCAAAAAAGCCAAUCCAUGGUGGCUGAAUUUAGGAUGGUGAGUCCAUCAAAGGGGUGCCGUAGUAUCUGGGAAGAAACCCAAAGUGGAACAGCAAUGUUCUGUUUCUUGACUGGAUGAAGGUUACAUAGAUGUGUUUACUUUGUGAAAAAUCACUGAGCUGCAUACUUAAGAUGUGUUCACAUUUAAGCAUGUAUUUUAUAUUUGCAUUUUUUAAAAAAAUAUUUGCUUGCAAAAAAAGAUAUCCAAAGCCUAAGUAUUUAUUAGUAGGAGGAUGAAUAAAACAAAUGAUAGUAUAUUCAAAUAAUGGAAUACUAUUCAACAAUAAAAAAGAAUCAACUACUGAUACAAGGAUGAACCUCAAAAGCCUAAUUUAUACAUCUCAUUGUCAGGUAAAUUUUAACUCAGAAGGUAAACAAAACUGUAAACAGGCAUGUGCCCUGGGGGGAGGGGUGCUUUAGCCUUUGUCUCCUCAGACCUGUGCCAUUACUGGCACAUCCCGCAAGAAGAGAGGCAGGGCUCAGCCACAGCUACCAUCUCCUCCUGUGCAUAGUGCCCGGGCGGGGGCGGGGCUGAGGCCUGAAUCUGCACGUGGGGGCUCCACAACCUCCUAGGCAGGACUGAGACUUGUUUAUAGCCUGAGGCAGGGAGGAUCUUUCUACCCUGACACCUCAGAGAACUUGUGCUGCCAAGAGAAACAAGGAGCUCAGAUUUGGCACAGAGCGUAGGCGGGGCUGUUCCGCGGUCUUCCCCGAGCCCACCUACAGACCGCCUACCCGAGGCAGAGCAGGCAGCUGCACAGAGCAGCGGAGUGACCAGCACCAGGAGAGGGCACAGCACCUGACCACGGUGCUGGGAUGGGGUGUGAUCUGCCCACCUGCCUCCCCCUGAGCACAGCAUCUGACUGUGGCAUCAGGAGGGGGAGUGACCUGCCCGCCCACUGGGUAAGAGCUCAGCUUCUGACCUAGUGUUAGGAGGGGGCACAAUCUGCUAGCCAACAGCCACUGAGAGCAGCACAGAUGAGGGCGCCAACAGAAGGCCUAUGAAACAGCAAGCUGAGUUCGCGAAGCAGGACGAAGACACAAAGACUUCUCGAUCAAAUCAUUAAGGGCACACCAUCUCCAGGUUAAGUAGGUAACUGAUACUCCUUAAGCCACGGUGCCAGAGAGAUAUGAGCAAUGUGAAUAAACAGAGAAGCCACUCCCAAUGAAAACAUCAAGAGAAAUCCCCUGAAAGCGUGAUCAAGGAAAUAGACAUUGAUGGCCUACUAGAUCAAGAUUUCAAGAAAAUAGUGAUCAAAGUACUGAAGGAACUAAAAGAAAUAGGGUUUAGGGAUAUAAAAUAUGUCAAAAAUGAAAUAGAAACUAUAGAGAAGAACCAAGUAGAAUUAGUAAACUCAUUGGCUGAGAUGAGAGCUGACCUAAAGGCUGUGCAAAGCAGACUAGAAAAUACAGAAGAACAAAUAUGUGAUCUAGAAGACAGGACAACAGGAAGCACCCAAUCAGAACAGCUGAGAGAAAAACAAAUAAAAAACAAUGAAAACAAUAUAUGGGACCUAUGGGGUAAUAUAAAGUGUGCCAAUCUAUGCAUAAUAGGAGUUCCAGAAGGGGAAAAAGAACAAAGGGGAUUGAAAAGGUAUGGGAAGGACUCAUGACUGAAAACUUCCCAAACCUAAAGAAGGAAUCAUAUCCAAGCACAGGAGGCUCAGAGGGUCCCAAACAGGAAGAACCCAAACAGACCCACACCAAGGCACAUCCUAAUCAAGAUAGCCAAAGUCAAGGAUAAAGAAAUGAUCCUAAAGGAAGCAAGAGAAAAACAGAGUGAGUUACAAGGGAACCCCCAUAAGGUUUUCAGCUGAUUUCUCUACACUGUUUACAACAGCUAAGACAUGGAAACAGCCUAAAAUGUCCAUCAACAGAUGACUAGAUAAAGAUGUGGGAUAUUUAUAUGAUGGGAUAUUAUUCAGCCACAAAAACUGACAACAUAACGCCAUUUGCAGAGACAUGGAUGCUCAUGGAGAAUGUUAUUCUAGGUGGAGCAGAACAGAAAGAGAAAGAGGAAUAACAUAUGAGAUCACUCAUGUGUGGAAUCUUAAAUAUAUGCAAGAUCUUGUGGUAACUCACAGCAAAAAAAAAAGUGACAAUGAAUAUAUUUACAUUCAUGUAUAACUGAAAAAUUGUGCUCUACACUGGAAUUUGUCAUAACAUAGUAAAAUGACUAUUAAUCAAUAAAAAAUGUUUAAAAAUAAAUAAAAUAAAAUAUAACCGUUAAAAUACUGUAUAA